rnacentral:rRNA from 1 species
AGCGAACGCUGGCGGCAGGCCUAACACAUGCAAGUCGAACGAACCUUUCGGGGUUAGUGGCGGACGGGUGAGUAACACGUGGGAACGUGCCUUUAGGUUCGGAAUAACUCAGGGAAACUUGUGCUAAUACCGAAUGUGCCCUUCGGGGGAAAGAUUAAUCGCCUUUAGAGCGGCCCGCGUCUGAUUCGCUAGUUGGUUGGGGUAAUGGCUCACCAAGGCGACGAUCAGUAGCUGGUCUGAGAGGAUGAUCAGCCACAUUGGGGCUGAGACACGGCCCAAAAUCCUACGGGGGGGCGCAGUGGGGAAUCUUGCGGAAUGGGGCAAAACCUGACGCAGCCAUGCCGCGUGAAUGAUGAAGGUCUUAGGAUUGUAAAAUUCUUUCACCGGGGACGAUAAUGACGGUACCCGGAGAAGAAGCCCCGGCUAACUUCGUG